UUUAGGGCAAGUUUAUCACCUUAGGGCAUGAAUCAAAGAGUAAAAAUAACAUUUUACCGACGGUAAAUCUCUUUGGAAGCGAAUUAAGAUGGCUGCUGUGAAGAAAUGCAUUCAAGCUCUUUUAGCAAUUACAGCAACAUCAGGAGCAGCUACUGCAGGGACCGUUUGGGGCACACAAUUUCCCCUUCCCCAAGGUUCUUCAUUCAUAGUAACUGGAAUGGAGAGAUAAUAUUUGCCCCACAGACAUGACACAGUGAGUCAGUUUUACAGGGCAUCGCCACUUGUCCCUUUGCAACUGUGGGUUGAGGAAGCUGCUCCCCAGUGCCUUCCAGCACUCUCCCACAGCUGGAACAAUAACAGCCUAUGCCUGUCCGGCUAGCCUGGAUUAUAAUCCGGCAGCAGCCGUGGAGGAUCUCAGGUGGAGCUUUACAUCAUCUUCUAAUGUAAACAGCAUUGUAUGAGAGCCUGACAGUCCCCCAGGAUUUCCACUGAGCAGUGAUUGAUGCGAAAAGGGAUGGAAUUGCCAUGAUUCGGCAUCAGUCACAGUUCUCUCUUGGCUCUAAAGCUGACCCUGUUAGCACAGUCUGACUUGGAUCAUUUGUCUCAGAAGUACCGAGGGAUUUUAAAACAGCUGUGGAUUCAACCAUUUCAAACGGGAACAUACUUCUGGUUUGUGCAACUCCAUCCCAAGAGACAUCUGCUAUGAGGAGCGAUAAACUGAGAAACAGAAUAAUUACCACAGCUUGCGCUGUCUCAAACAACCUUCGGUGCUCACAUUUAAAUUGCUGGCACGGAAAGCCAAGAAUAUAACAGGGUAAAACAAGUUCCCAGCCACAUCUGCCCCAAAGCGAAUGUUUCUUUGCCACAUGAAGGAAACUGAAGCUUUUAUUUACAGACGUCCUCCAGCCGGUGUUAAAUGAAGCCAAUCUGGUUCCCAGGAUAUGAUUCUACUGUGUUAAAUGAUGGGAACACUACUGUGCCUUUCUCCCCAUAGAGGACUCCGUGGCCUAUCGGAGAAUUGCAAGUUGGGAAGGACUGACUUGGAAACCUAUUUUUCAACGCGAAGUGGCUACUUCCCACCCACCCCUCUGAAGUUUGCCCCGGAGGCUGUGUGGGAUGAUCUGUGGGCUUCUGAUCAGAGGGAAAGAAUGGCAGCAGUUUUAUUCCAAAACGCAGCUGUGGAUUAAUAUCACAAAGAAGAGUUUAGCCGGGCUUUUUUUCUUUUCUUUUCACAGUUCAUUCACAUAAUGAAUGUGAAUGUCAAGACACCUUCAUCUGAAGUCUGAGCGCUUUGGAACAAAGCAAAACAAAACAAAUUUAGUGGAGGUGUCAAGUUUCAGGAACGCAGGAGCGGAGGUGGCGAAAAGCUCCACACAGGCUCAGCAAUUGCUUUCUCUUCCAUCAUCCUGCCUGGAUAAAAUAUGACCACACUCCUGUCUUCUGCUCCACCCACUCCCAAAGGAAGAGACGGUUGAGAAUGUCUACAGCUUUGGCGCGUGAAAGGGCUGCAGUUUCUAUGAGACAAGCUGUAUUUUUUAGGAGGGGGGAGAAAGAACACCUUUUAGAAACUAACUUGGAGUAAAUUUGAGGUUAGGAAAUUC